CAGCUUACCUGGACAGGGUCGAUGGGUGAUCAAGAAGGACCAUGGCCUGAGUCAAGGGCUCACAUUGCACUUGCUGGGAGCCCUGGCUUGCCAUCUCCUCAAGCUAGAGAGGGGACGUCAUAAUUUGUGGUAGAGGGGGCAUGCGUUCGCGCAGCCCCUGC